rnacentral:rRNA from 1 species
GUGCCAGCAGCCGCGGUAAGACAGAGGGUGCAAGCGUUGUUCGGAAUUAUUGGGCGUAAAGGGCGCGUAGGCGGCCAAGCAAGUUGGAUGUGAAAUCCCAGGGCUCAACCCCGGAAGUGCAUCCAAAACUGCUUAGCUUGAGUCCCGGAGAGGGUGGUGGAAUUCCCAGUGUAGAGGUGAAAUUCGUAGAUAUUGGGAGGAACACCGGUGGCGAAGGCGACCACCUGGACGGAGACUGACGCUGAGGCGCGAAAGCGUGGGGAGCAAACAGGAUUAGAUACCCUCGUAGUCC